rnacentral:tRNA from 1 species
AUUAAGGUGUCUGAAUAAAGUAGUAAACUGUAAAUUUACUUAAGGAUUAUGUCAUCCCCUUAAUA